rnacentral:rRNA from 1 species
GACGUAGGGCGCGAGCGUUGUCCGGAUUUAUUGGGCGUAAAGAGCGUGUAGGCGGUCCGGUAAGUCGGCUGUGAAAGUCCAGGGCUCAACCCUGGGAUGCCGGUCGAUACUGCCCGGACUAGAGUUCGGAAGAGGCGAGUGGAAUUCCCGGUGUAGCGGUGAAAUGCGCAGAUAUCGAGAGGAACACCUGCGGCGAAGGCGGGUAGCUGGGCCGACACUGACGCUGAUGCGCGAAAGCCAGGGGAGCGAACGGG